UCUGCAGGGAGCAGAGGGAAAACCUGUCGCUUGCACCACACUCCAGGGCAGCCAAGUCUCUCCCAAGAGGGCCCUGAGCUCUGCCUCUAGGCCAGCUCUCUGCCCCGACACCCCCCGGCCCACAGCCUGCGGAGAGCUCAGCAGCACGUCCACCAGGCAUCCCGAAGAUCAAACCUGACCUCUUCACUGUCUCCCCACAGCUGCCUCCUCCUACAGGCUCCCCAGAGGACACCCCGUUCUCAGGCUCAGACCAGAGCCCUGGAGUCGCCUUUGGCUCUUCCUUUCUCUAUACCACGUUCAAUCUGCAGGCAGGCAGGGCAGGAUUUCCUGACUUCCGACCAGCGGACUCCUGCCUCAGCCAAGCCAGCGUCCCUCGUGUGGGGCCGGCAGCGGCCUGGCUGGUCUCCAAAGGCUGCCUCUGCUGCAGUCACAGUGGACCCAGCGGCAGCGGGAGAGCACUCCAGUCUGAACACAGUGACCCAUCGGGACGAGGACGCUCCCGUCACACACGGAGUCCUCAGAGAGCUCAUGAAAAACGCACACUAUAAAAAACAUGCAUGGAGUUCAAGUUUUACAACAAAAUAAACUCAUGUUUUAAUUCUA